GUCCGGUCUCGUUGGUUGGACUGGACGGAGCAGCUAGCUAGCCGUGCGGCCGUGCCCAAGCAAGCAAGCAUAGCACAUGGCGGAUCACAUGCGUGCGCGUUCGGUUAGCAGUUGCGGUGACAGGCACGGCACAGGCGCGCGCGCGGAGGGAGUCCGCGUCACGUCAAAGCUUUAGCUGAACUCGAUGCUCUCCACGCCUCUACUGUGAGGUGGUCGUCGAGAUCGGCGGUGGUGCCACGCUUGUUCUGCCUGCCUGGAACGCUGGACCUGGGUGGAUGGGUCUGAUAAUUGGCGCGGGGCGCAGAAAGGGACCGGCGAACAAAGGCGUGAUGGACACGGUCCAUGAGGAAACGCACCGCGUGCGCGUGCCGUCGCUGUACUCGCCUUUGUCCGUGUCUCCUGGCCUGCACUGCACGUCCGGUCCACCUCGUCCGCGCGCGCAGGCGAUCGAUUGAAAAGUUUUUUUUUUUGCGCGGGUAGCAACAAGAGGUCUCCCUCAAGCGUGGAUUACUACUUGCUCUCGUCUGUCCUGAGUGGAGUGCGUGGUGCUUGGUUUUUAGUUUGCAGAUGCAAAGGAAUUUUCGGGAGUUAGAAAAAAA
rnacentral:lncRNA from 7 species